UACGUAGGUGGCAAGCGUUGUCCGGAUUUACUGGGCGUAAAGGGCGCGUAAGCGGCCAGCACAAGUCAGUUGUGAAAUCUCCGAGCUUAACUCGGAAAGGUCAACUGAUACUGUGCGGCUAGAGUGCGGAAGGGGCAACUGGAAUUCUUGGUGUAGCGGUGAAAUGCGUAGAUAUCAAGAGGAACACCUGCGGCGAAGGCGGGUUGCUGGGCCGACACUGACGCUGAGGCGCGAAAGCCAGGGGAGCGAACGGG
rnacentral:rRNA from 1 species